rnacentral:rRNA from 1 species
UAAGAGGGGGAUAACAUCCGGAAACGGGUGCUAAUACCGCAUUAGUUUUCUUGAUCGCAUGAAAUCGGGAAAGGAAAGACGGCCUUUGUGCUGUCGCUUAUGGAUGGACCCGCGGCGUAUUAGUUAGUUGGUGAGGUAACGGCUCACCGAAGACGAUGAUACGUAGCCGACCUGAGAGGGUGAUCGGCCACAUUGGGACUGAGACACGGCCCAAACUCCUACGGGAGGCAGCAGUAGGGAAUCUUCCGCAAUGGACGAAAGUCUGACGGAGCAACGCCGCGUGAGUGAAGAAGGUUUUCGGGAAUCGUAAAACUCUGUUGUCAGAGAAGAACAAGUUGGAGAGUAACUGCUCCAGCCUUUGACGGUAUCUGACCAGAAAGCCACGGCUAACUACGUGCCAGCAGCUGC